GGGGGGAGCAAGCGUUGUUCGGAUUUACUGGGCGUAAAGGGCGCGUAGGCGGCCUCUGCAAGUCGACUGUGAAAUCUCCGGGCUUAACCCGGAACGGUCAGCCGAUACUGCAGGGCUAGAGUGCAGAAGGGGCAACUGGAAUUCUCGGUGUAGCGGUGAAAUGCGUAGAUAUCGAGAGGAACACCUGCGGCGAAGGCGGGUUGCUGGGCUGACACUGACGCUGAGGCGCGAAAGCUAGGGGAGCGAACGGGAUUAGAUACCCCGGUAGUCCUAGCCUUAAACGAUGAAUGCUUGGUGUCUGGGGUUUUAUAGUCCCCGGGUGCCGUCGCUAACGCUUUAAGCAUUCCGCCUGGGGAGUACGGUCGCAAGACUGAA
rnacentral:rRNA from 1 species